AAUAAUUAUUUCAAUUCCCUGAUGAUUUUAAGAAAGCUUACAGAAAAUUGAAUCCAAAUAAUAAAAAAGAAGCUGAAGCUAAAUUCAAGCAGAUUUCUGAGGCUUAUGAGUGAUGAUAUGUUAACAUCAUCUAGUGUAUCUGGUAUCUCCCCAUUGAUUAUGCUCAGAUUAUCAAUCAAUGCAAAAUUACAAAUCUAUCAAGGAUACAACUUAUUCAUCUUCUCUCCAAUACGAGUUUUAAAACAGGUUCCUCAAACUCUUAGAGACGACCCUACAUGAAAGAGCAUAACAAAGUAACAAGAAGGAACGAUGGAGUUAACUUGCUAGGCUGAAAAGGUCAUCAGUGGGGUGCAUGCAUCAAGAUGUGCCAUGAAGCAUGAUAAACUUUUGUAAAAUGAGAGACAAAGUUGAUAAAAAAGAGGACAUAUUUUUUUAGAUCGUGAGUGGCCGUGAUGUACACAAGUUAAAAAGACACAUCAUAUAAACCAAUGUCGUCUUUGAGACAUGUAUUUAAUUAUAAUAAUGAGCACAUUUAAGGUUUA